GUGAAGUAGAAGCAAGUGAAACUGUGAAAGACAAAAACUCUUUUAGACUGGUUCUGGUUGUGUUGCAGAUCCAAAUCUCAAUCAAUCCUGAGAGAGAAUGAAGAUGAAAGAAUCAAGCCCCAGCAGUGAGCCCAUCGGGCAGAACAUGAUCAAGCUCAUCAGCAAUCUCUGCUUCUCAGUGUUCGUCUUCUCCGUCCUUAUCAUCACUGCGAUCGCCAUCACCUACCAACCCCCAGAUCCCUGGCUCCAGUCCGCUCCUGCCCUCACCAAGCUCUUCACCGACUCCCGAAUCAACGCUACUUUCAACAAUGACAACUCUAUCCUCAACACCGGCGAGGAUCUCCUCCUCAUUUCCCCGGCUGCUGCCCCUCCCGACAGCCGGAUCACCGAGGCCGUCAUCCAGACCGCCGAGGCCAAACUCGACUCUGCCUGCGCCGGGGAGGAGCUGCAGACCACCGUGAACUGCUCAGACCCGAGAGUGUUGAUUGCGGUCGAGAGGUUCAAUCUCAGGCUGUUCAAGACGGUUGUGUUUUUGGAGUACCGGGUUCCGGUCAACGGGUCCAAAGGCGACGAGUGUGACGUGUUUUGGAGGUUUAGGAACAAGAAGGACAAGUCCUGGAGGAGGUACAGGGAUUUUAGGAGGUUUCAGUUUGGCUUCGGAGUGAAUUGCACCUACAAAGUGGUGCACGCCGGAGGGUGGCAUUCCGGUGUGAAUGCACGCCCCACUAGGACUAGUAGGCCCGGUGGUCGCGCAAACGGUGGCGGCGUUGAGGAGGGGAUUAAUGAUACCAUUCCCAGCGGCCUGGGGGAGAGGACUUUCAGGAGGGGCAGGUACUUGUACUACUCGCGGGGAGGGGACUACUGCAAGGGGAUGAAUCAGUACAUGUGGAGUUUCUUGUGUGGUUUAGGUGAGGCAAUGUAUUUGAACAGGACAUUUGUCAUGGAUUUGAGUGUGUGCUUGUCAGGGAGUUACAAUCCCACUACUAAUAAGGAUGAGGAAGGGAAGGACUUUCGGUAUUAUUUUGAUUUCGAGCAUUUGAAGGAGGCUGCGCCGAUUGUGGAGGAGGGUGAGUUUCUGAGGGAUUGGAAGAAGUGGGAUAGGAGCCAUAAGAGGAAGCUGCCUGUUAAGAAGGUUGGGAGCCACAAGAUUACGCCAAUGCAACUCAAGAAAGAUAGGAGCACGGUUCUGUGGAGGCAGUUUGAUGCGCCGGAGCCAGAGAAUUACUGGUUCAGGGUGUGCGAAGGAGAAGCUGCCAAGUACAUUCAGAGGCCGUGGCAUGCUUUGUGGAAGUCAAAGAGAUUGAUGAACAUUGUUUCUGAGAUCAGCGGCCGGAUGGAUUGGGAUUUUGAUGCUGUUCAUGUUGUGCGAGGGGAGAAGGCCAAGAAUACGCAGCUCUGGCCUCAUCUGGAUUAUGAUACAUCCCCUGACCAGCUACUCGAGAAGGUUAAGGGUAUGGUUCAGCCUUGGAGGAAUUUGUAUAUAGCCACAAAUGAACCAUUCUAUAAUUACUUUGACAAACUGAGGUCUCAGUACAAGGUUCGUUUGGUUGAUGAUUACAAGGAGUUGUGGAGUAAUACAAGCGAGUGGUACAAUGAGACUACAACUCUGAAUAAUGGACAUCCAGUUGAGUUUGAUGGGUACAUGAGGGCGGAAGUGGAUACUGAGGUUCUUUACAGGGCAAAGACUCGAGUGGAAACAUUCUAUAAUUUGACAAAAGAUUGCAAGGAUGGAGUCUUUACAUGCUGACCAGGGUGGAUGUAUAAUGCAUGCAUGGUGCUGAUAUUGGUGGAAUGCUGCUGUAAUGCAUGCAUGUCCUUACAGGUUGGCUACAUUACCUGAAGGGAGGGUUGAUCGGUGGGGAAGGUUGCAGUGUGUUUAUCAUGACUGGUGUUUUAAUGGCGCAGGUGACUGCAAGUUCAUCCCUCAAGCACCUAAGGAUGGCCCUCCGAUUCACACUUCCAAGAGAGCAUGUGUAGGUGUUUAUAAGUUUAUUCAAGUAGCGUGCAGAAUAGAAUUGUGUGUGGUUCUGGCCAAGUGCUGAUCCUGAAUACAAAGACAUUCUUACAGAGAAACAACCUCCCUAUAUACCAGAACUGGAUGAUCCAUCGCAUACUUGCUUGAUGGGAAAUAGAGAGAUCCCUUAUGGGUACGAGGUCUUGAUUGAAAAUCUUAUGGAUCCUGCCCAUCUUCCAUAUGCACAUUAUGGACUAAUGCAAACUCCACAACCAAAAGAGAAGGCUGACAGAGAAGGGGGCAGACCAUUGGAUUUUUAUAUUCCUAAGUUAGACAUAAACGGUUUCAUCACACCUGUUUUCUUCUUUUCUAUAUAUGGCAUUUUUUUUUAGGUCUCAUCUGCUCAAAACGGAAAAAAAAAGAGCUUUAUUGGUUUUUAUAUGUGUACCGGUUAGUCCAGGUAAUAGCAGAUGGAUAUCGACCUUCCCAGCAAACUUUGGUGUUUGGAGUAAGAUUGUUCCCCGAUGGAUAUAUCACAUGGAAU